rnacentral:rRNA from 1 species
UGCGAGUCAUGGGGCGCCUUGCGCGCACCGGCGGACGGCUCAGUAACACGUCGGUAACCUACCCUCGGGAGGGGGAUAACCCCGGGAAACUGGGGCUAAUCCCCCAUAGGCCUGAGGUACUGGAAGGUCCUCAGGCCGAAAGGGGCUUCGGCUCGCCCGAGGAUGGGCCGGCGGCCGAUUAGGUAGUUGGUGGGGUAACGGCCCACCAAGCCGAAGAUCGGUACGGGCCAUGAGAGUGGGAGCCCGGAGAUGGACACUGAGACACGGGUCCAGGCCCUACGGGGCGCAGCAGGCGCGAAACCUCCGCAAUGCGGGAAACCGCGACGGGGGGACCCCCAGUGCCGUGGCAUCGCCACGGCUUUUCCGGAGUGUAAAGAGCUCCGGGAAUAAGGGCUGGGCAAGGCCGGUGGCAGCCGCCGCGGUAAUACCGGCGGCCCGAGUGGUGGCCGCUAUUAUUGGGCCUAAAGCGUCCGUAGCCGGGCCCGUAAGUCCCUGGCGAAAUCCCACGGCUCAACCGUGGGGCUUGCUGGGGAUACUGCGGGCCUUGGGACCGGGAGAGGCCGGGGGUACCCCUGGGGUAGGGGUGAAAUCCUAUAAUCCCAGGGGGACCGCCAGUGGCGAAGGCGCCCGGCUGGAACGGGUCCGACGGUGAGGGACGAAGGCCAGGGGAGCGAACCGGAUUAGAUACCCGGGUAGUCCUGGCUGUAAAGGAUGCGGGCUAGGUGUCGGGCGAGCUUCGAGCUCGCCCGGUGCCGAAGGGAAGCCGUUAAGCCCGCCGCCUGGGGAGUACGGCCGCAAGGCUGAAACUAAAGGAAU